GGGUCAGUAGGUUGGUCGUGCCACCGGUACGUACUGGUCUCACUGAUUCCUCCUUCCUGAAUAACCGUAAUGCCAUUAAUUUGGUGUUGCGGGGAAACAGGGCUGUUACUUUGAAAAAAUUAGAGUGUUUAAAGCAAGCUAACGCUUGAAUACAUUAGCAUGGAAUAAUGAAAUAGGACGAUCGAUCCUAUUUUGUUGGUUUCUAGGAUUGACGUA
rnacentral:rRNA from 1 species